GAUGACAACCUUAUUCCCUUGGGCUGUGCUCUCAUCUAACCUCCUUAGCUAAGCAGAGCUGGGCCUAGUCAGUACUUGGAUGGGAAGCCAUCAAAGAAAACUUAGCAGCUGCCAGAG
ensembl:rRNA 5S_rRNA 5S ribosomal RNA